rnacentral:misc_RNA from 1 species
GAACUGCGAUAAGUAAUGUGAAUUGCAGAAUUCAGUGAAUCAUCGAGUCUUUGAACGCACAUUGCGCCCCCUGGCAUUCCGGGGGGCAUGCCUGUCCGAGCGUCAUUGCUGCCCUUCAAGCCCGGCUUGUGUGUUGGGUCGUCGUCCCCUCCGGGGGACGGGCACGAAAGGCAGCGGCGGCACCGCGUCCGGUCCUCGAGCGUAUGGGGCUUUGUCACCCGCUCGAUAAGGACCGGCCGGGCGCCAGCCGGCGUCUCCAACCUUUUUUUCUCAGGUUGACCUCGGAUCAGGUAGGGAUACCCGCUGAACUUAAGC